rnacentral:rRNA from 1 species
ACGCUGGCGGCGUGCCUAAUACAUGCAAGUCGAACGCCUUGUGGUUUUAAUGAAUAGCGUGCUUGCACAAUAUGAUUUAAAACAAUGCAAGGAGUGGCGAACGGGUGAGUAACACGUGGGAAACCUACCUCUUAGCAGGGGAUAACAUUUGGAAACAGAUGCUAAUACCGUAUAACACUAAAAACCGCAUGGUUUUUAUUUGAAAGAUGGUUCUGCUAUCACUAAGAGAUGGUCCCGCGGUGCAUUAGUUAGAUGGUGAGGUAAUGGCUCACCAUGACGAUGAUGCAUAGCCGAGUUGAGAGACUGAUCGGCCACAAUGGGACUGAGACACGGCCCAUACUCCUACGGGAGGCAGCAGUAGGGAAUCUUCCACAAUGGGCGCAAGCCUGAUGGAGCAACGCCGCGUGUGUGAUGAAGGGUUUCGGCUCGUAAAGCACUGUUGUAAGAGAAGAAUGUACUUGAGAGUAACUGUUCAAGUAGUGACGGUAUCUUACCAGAAAGGGACGGCUAAAUACGUGCCAGCAGCCGCGGUAAUACGUAUGUCCCAAGCGUUAUCCGGAUUUAUUGGGCGUAAAGCGAGCGCAGACGGUUAUUUAAGUCUGAAGUGAAAGCCCUCAGCUCAACUGAGGAAUUGCUUUGGAAACUGGAUGACUUGAGUGCAGUAGAGGAAAGUGGAACUCCAUGUGUAGCGGUGAAAUGCGUAGAUAUAUGGAAGAACACCAGUGGCGAAGGCGGCUUUCUGGACUGUAACUGACGUUGAGGCUCGAAAGUGUAGGUAGCAAAC